AGGACAGGGGGGUCCCCACCCGUCGGCGGGGCCUGUCCAGCAGGGUUGCGCGAGAGCGUGGCCAGUGGUUGUCGCUCGGGGGUGAUCGCCG
rnacentral:sRNA from 24 species